AGCACUGCUUGAGUAGAACUGCUGCAGUUUAAGCAUCAAUUGAGGGUGCAGGGGGAAGUAAGAAAGCACCGAGGAGAGUGAACACACACCCACCUGGGUUAGCGAAAGUGACAGAACGCUUGUGAUAGGGGAUGUGCGAAGUCUCCAAUAGGAAGAGCGAUUCGAGGCGCCUGCCUGGAGAGAAGGGCACAGAACAGGAAAGAGCUGCAGAGAGUGAGUGAGGGAGAUAGACGGAGAAGGAAACCUGAGGGAGGGGAAACAGGGAGAGGGGAGAGUGGUAUUCGGGCCGAGACGAAGAAGCGCAUGCUUCAUUAAGUGAGGAAGUAAUCCUGGCUAAUUAAGGCUCUCCAUGACAGCACUGUCAGGGAUGACUGAUCCUUCAAAUGGCACCUCCCUCUCCUGACUGACAGCCCGCCUGCUCCCACCGCUUUGAAGGUUGGGGAACGGACGACUCCCAUGGCAAUCAGUGGCUGAUCAGGUGCGAGGUGAGCGUGUGCUUUGGGCGUCCAGCCAACGGGACCUGCUUUAAUUGAUCGGCGACAGGCUGCCAGGACUCUUCUCAGCUCGAUCCCUGAAGACCUCUGGCUCCACAGAAACAGGAAAUGGUAAUAGUAUUGCACGGCUUCUCCUCCCCCUAUCUCUAUCCCAAUUUCUCUCUCUCUGAAUGAACAAAAAAGGGAGAAAACAUAGACGUGUCAUAACGUAUAUGUGUGGAAAGGUGAACCCCUAGACCAUAAAAUGAAGUUAUUUUUUUACCCUCUUCAACUGUGCAGAGAAAAAUGGUUUCAGUGUAUGAUACGAGCAAAACAAUCAAUUCAUUUCACCAUUAAAUUCAUUUAUGUUCUUUUGUUAUCGUUUUUUUUGUUGCACUCACACUUGGUGGUUCGAUAUCCAGUCUGGAAAAGACUUCUUUGUGGGGAGUUUGCAUGUUCUUUCCUUGUUCCUGUGGGUUGCCUUUGGGUGCUCCGGCGGUCCCCCAACACCGAAAGAAUUUUCUGUUGUAUUUUGCCUUUUGGCUAAAGGUUGUCUGACUUUUUUGUAUCCAUUUACACUAUAGACUGUGUAGCCCCUCCAGGUGGAUGAACACACACUCACACACUAACACCCCAUGCUGCCUUAAGGUGUUUAUGAGUCCCUUCACCCCUGGCCAAACAUGUGGUGAAACCACCCAGCUCCAGUCAUAUCAGUGGGAUCUGCUAACUAGCCCCAAUGGACUCUUCCAGGUUUAUAGUGAAUUGUGCAGCAAAACCACAAUUGACUUAAAAGAGAUCUGACUUAGAAGAGGCUCUGACUUCAUUUCUCUUUGAGGUUUCUCAUUUCUUGAGAGCGCUUUCCCGUCUCUUUGUCCCUCCUAUCCUAAUCUGAAAUGCAGCUGGAUCCACCAUUCCCCGUAAUAGUUUCUCUGUUUUUAGCCCUUUUAAAUUGUAUUUUAUUAUUUCGGCUUUUUCAUGGAAGCCCUAAUGUGUUCAAGAAGUCCCAAAAGUAAGCUGUAAUGGUUGCACCACACCAAAUACACACCAUAGUUACAUUUAGCCAACGCUUUUAUCCAAAGCGACUUACAUUGCGGCUUAAAUUGCAUUUUUAACCUGUGUUUUUUUACAUUUUGCCCGUGGAGCAGUUUGGGAUUGGAUGUCUUGCUCAGGGACACGUAGCAGCCGGGGUUCAAACCACCAACUUUGCGGUUCCCAGCGCACCCUCUCUAUCCCGUCGCCCCCGGUGACGCAUGGAGUACAACAAAGGCUGAUUCUGCAGGAUACUACAUUUCCUUACUGUUGGUUGCUGUCCUCUCCUAAGUCUGGUCACAAUACCCAAUUUUUGAGAGGUUGCAUCCAAGGCUCAAGAGAAGCCCUGUGGAGAACAGAUGUGGGCAGCUCAAGCCAAAAGCACCAGUUCUCUCGCCAAAGUACAACCAUAAAAAUCUUCCUGCAAUAAGUAACUUGAAAACCAAAAUGUCCUAUAGCAGAACUGUGGGAUCUGCCCCAUCAACCGUGAGCCUGAGUUACACAGCAGAACUCGAGGGGAGCGCUGAGGCCUGAUUGGCUGGAAAAUCAUCUGGGAGCCUGCAGAUUUAUAUUGGACAAAGAAUUCUGCACAGAUGUCAUAAUAUAUAGCGUGUACUUACACACAUUUUCUUACAGGGACUUUCACUUUUACGGGGCAUCCAUCCCAUGCAGACACCAUCUGUACAUACAGAAACAGUACAUAACUUUCUUCUAACCUUUCCUAAGGCCACACCUUACGUUGAAAUCCCUUCCUAAACCCAGAAGUAGUGCAUCGCUGCCAAAGGUUUCUUAGUCAAGUGCCCAGAUCCACAGCUCUCAGUCUGGGCAGAGGCGGGCAAAGUACCGGCCGUCUGUUCUUGUUGCCAGGACUGGAUUCGCUGUAUAGCACUUUACGCAUGUGGCUUCUCUCAAAAUGCCAGUUAAGUGCUUGGCUAAAGCGCAACAUUUCAUUUUUAUCAUCUUAUUUCUCCACAAUAUAGUGACGAAUCUGUGCAAAAUACUGUUUAGAGUUUCAUGAAUGUGUAAAAGCAGACAUCCAUACACGGAUUUGGUGUCAAGUCUUAUGGUCCUCUUCAUGGAGAGUGCUUCUUGCACGCAAGAAAGUGUGGUCCAACACACUUGUAAUGCACUAAUAAUGGCUUGAAAAAAAGAUCUUCACUUUAGUUGGCUUUAGUCCUAUUAUUGAUAUAUUUUAAAAUCAGGAAAAAAUCAUGUAUGAAAUAAUAACUUUUCAAAACGUAUAUAUGUAAUAAAAUGUUCAGGCAACAUUAAAAAACAUUUGUUUAAUAGACAUGAAUGAAUGAGGACUUCCCAUAGACUUAGAUCUUGUAGUAAUAUGUUAGUUGUGGUUUGCAUCUUGGGGCCUUCAUUGAGUCUCUCCUGUCCAUCUCUCCCUCUAUCUCACUCAACACACAACUACACGCACACACACACGCAGUGUGUUGAGGUGCUGCAGCUUACUCGUGUAAUGUGACCUGGAGGGGCGCCAACGAGCCCAGAGAAGGCCCGUGGCCCGGGGCCCGCCGACACCUCUCCCCAGCCCUGUUGAAAUGUUUAUUUAUAACUCUCCUCCUGCUCCACCUCCUCCUGUCGUCUGCCAGCCGCCAUGCCAAUCCAAACAUACCGGGCCUCUCCAGACUGUCCAGAGCAUGAUUUCAGAAAGAAGAGAACCAUUUCCCUUCUUUUUCCCCUCUUCUCAUGCCCAAAUCCCCCCCCCCCCCCUCCCCCCCCCACUUUCUGUCUUAGGGUGUCUUUCAAAGAGCUACGCUUAGAGAGAGGACAAUUGAGAAGAGAAAGAGAGGAGAGGAGAGGGACGAAUGGAUUGGUAAAAGAAAAGAGGGGAGGGAGGGCAGAGGUUCACUCCAUACACCCUGGGCUGCUAAAUUGGUUUCAGGCCGGCCGUGGGACGCCAGGGAUGCACGGCAGACACUGCCGACUAGCUGUGUUUGCUUUUGCCGGGUGCAGGAAAUCUGAUCUCCAUCCAUGUGGCCAACCCACAUCCCAGCCAUCACUACCGCCAGGAAUACCAGGAGAUUUGCUCUAAAACAGGUAUCAUUGAUACUUGAGUAAUAAGAAUAAUAUACAUACAAUUAGAGUGUGGAAAAUGGGGAAUAUUUCACUGAAACGUACAACGGUUACAUCAUCCCACAUGGGCCGUCUUUCUUACAGGCCACAUGUCUGUGAAUGGAGGGACGACACGUUGAAUCCCUGGUGAGCCCGAGGCCCAAGGCCCUCGAAAUGUUUAGUUUAAUUGGGCCAGGCCUUAAGACUGCCGUGCAGACAUUGCCGGGCAGACACAGGACUACAGGGAAAAGCAACGCACCCAAGAGACCUCGGGCGCAGUGUCCCCGUAUCUGGCUUAGUGCUCAUUUGGUGUACUCACAGUUUAAGGACACACUGCUUACACAUUGCCGUGUCCAAGGGCGCCAAAUCACCAAUACUAGUUGUUGAUCUAAAAAAAAAACACAAAAAAACAUAUCACUCUAGCUCUAAGAAGAGGGAAUUGUUUACCUCCUUGUCCCUGUGUGUGUUUGUGUGCUUGUUUGUGUCUCUGUUUAUGCGUAAGUGCAUUUGUCUGCAUGCCUCGGCAAAGCCGUCUUUGUAACAGCGCUCACUAACACAUCCACCGAGGUCUGUGACAUCGCCUGCAGCCGAUGGUAAAAUGUACAUCAGCCAUGACAAAAUUGAAUUGCAUCACACAUUAUUUCCACUCAAUAAAUGAGGCAAGUAUUUGGUAAAUAAUAUAUGUAAAGUCAAAUAUUUAUUCAAACUGCAAAAAGGAAAAGGAGGAAGGAAAAUCAAGACGAACAAAUAUAUGUAUAAAAUGUGUGUAAAAACACAGUUUAUGGUAAGAGACAGCGGUCCAAUUAAUUGGACCAUCUUCAAGAAAGAGAAGGGAAUUGAUAUGAUUUUAAGGCCACGGCGUUCUGUUGAUGCCCAAAAUACAUUUCUUUUGAUUUCUGUUUGAGUAUGUGUGUGUGUUUAGUUCUCCGUCUAU